CUCCGGUUGAUCCUGCCGGACCCGACUGCUAUCAGAGUGGGACUAAGCCAUGCGAGUCAACAUAGCAAUAUGUGGCAUACGGCUCAGUAACACGUAGUCAACAUGCCCAGGGGACGUGGAUAACCUCGGGAAACUGAGGAUAAACCGCGAUAGGUCAUCACUUCUGGAAUGGGUAAUGACUUAAAUCUAUAUGGCCCCUGGAUUGGACUGCGGCCGAUCAGGCUGUUGGUGAGGUAAUGGCCCACCAAACCUGUAACCGGUACGGGCUCUGAGAGGGGGAGCCCGGAGAUGGGCACUGAGACAAGGGCCCAGGCCCUAUGGGGCGCAGCAGGCGCGAAACCUCUGCAAUAGGCGAAAGCUUGACAGGGUUACUCUGAGUGAUUUCCGUUAAGGAGAUCUUUUGGCACCUCUAAAAAUGGUGCAGAAUAAGGGGUGGGCAAGUCUGGUGUCAGCCGCCGCGGUAAUACCAGCACCCCGAGUGGUCGGGACGUUUAUUGGGCCUAAAGCAUCCGUAGCCGGUUCUACAAGUCUUCCGUUAAAUCCACCUGCUUAACAGAUGGGCUGCGGAAGAUACUAUAGAGCUAGGAGGCGGGAGAGGCAAGCGGUACUCGAUGGGUAGGGGUAAAAUCCGUUGAUCCAUUGAAGACCACCAGUGGCGAAGGCGGCUUGCCAGAACGCGCUCGACGGUGAGGGAUGAAAGCUGGGGGAGCAAACCGGAUUAGAUACCCGGGUAGUCCCAGCUGUAAACGAUGCAGACUCGGUGAUGAGUUGGCUUAUUGCUAACUCAGUGCCGCAGGGAAGCCGUUAAGUUUGCCGCCUGGGGAGUACGGUCGCAAGACUGAAACUUAAAGGAAUUGGCAGGGGAGCA
rnacentral:rRNA from 1 species